rnacentral:rRNA from 1 species
AGCCGGUGACGGUGCGCGAAUCCCAAAAUAAACGUCUCAGUUCGGAUUGUAGUCUGCAACUCGACUACAUGAAGCUGGAAUCGCUAGUAAUCGCGGAUCAGAAUGCCGCGGUGAAUACGUUCCCGGGUCUUGUACACACCGCCCGUCACACCAUGGGAGUCGGAAAUGCCCGAAGUCUGUGACCCAACCUUAGGGAGGGAGCAGCCGAAGGCAGGUCGGAUGACUGGGGUGAAGUCGUAACAAGGUAUC